rnacentral:lncRNA from 1 species
GGAGUCUUCUAUUGUGCCACAUAUUUUCUCUUUGAUGAAACUCUUGUCUAACUUGAGUGCUAGACUAAAGAGUGUGGAGAGCUCCCUUCUCAGAUUCAGUGAUAGAAUUUUUGAUAUAGAGAGGGAGGUUAGACGGAUUGUAGUCUUUCUCUCUGCUGGAGUGGGCACAUUGACUUCUUCUGCACUACAGAUGGAUGACCU